AUGUACAUAUGUGUGACCAGAUCACUUCUCUUCGUAUUCAGCAUUGCACGGCGCGUGCCAUCAUUUCUAAGUCGCAGUUGUUGUGUCGUGUAGUGAAAAUUAAAGUUUAAUUGCUGAUGCCGCGAUCUCAUCAGAAACACAAAUCAAAGAUAGUGAAGUGCUAAAAUAAUUAAUCUGGAUCGCGAUUCUUACACGUUAUUGGAGUUAUUCACAUACAUAUUAACUGUGUAUUUUACCGCGAUCUAGUUUAACAUAAUUAACCCUCAAGAUAAAGAUCACGCCAAGAUUAAUUUUAAGCUUCGGAAGCAUAACUAUUUGAUACAAAUCGAUUUUAAUUUAAUGUUCCCUGGAAAGGAAAGGCGCAUUAGCUUCAAAAUGGGAAGCGUUUAAGAAGGAAAUACAACAGUACUAUGCGUAUAAUAUCCACAACGUGAACAGAAGGAAGCUGUUUAUGAAUUUCAAGAAUUCAGAGACUAUUGACUUUAUUUUGACUAUCCUGCUCCCCUCAAUUUUACCGCCCAAUACAUGGUACUCUUCAAAAGCAUCAAAAACCAGAACUCCCUGGAAAGUCUAGUCCUUCAAGUGAACUCCAUUGCCGAC